rnacentral:lncRNA from 1 species
AACCAUUUAUUCUGAGUGUGAAGAACAUUAUAAUAAUCUGAAGAACCUUUGUCUACUAUAAAGACCCUUUUGCGCUUUGGAAAGGUUCUAUGGAUGUCAAAUGUAUAGAUGCUUAUAGUCCUUUGACUGUUCAGACAAAGAAAUGCAGAGAAAUACCUAUCUUCCUAUCUGUGUAAUGUAUUGUGUUCCACCUAUCUGUGUUUGUAUCUUUGCUGCUUAACAGUUUAUCAACUUGUCAUGUGGUUGCCAAUGGAUAAUAGAAGCUGUGCCCUGGAGUUUCUUCAUGGUACAACAAGUUCUUGGCCUUUUAAGAGUUUGAACAAGUCCAUUCACUUUCCUUAUAUCGUUUAGGAAAAGGUAUUAUGCUUUGCGUGUGAACUGAGCUCAAGUAACCCGCUCGGCAUCAAGCAUUUAUUUGGAAAAAUUCUUUUUUUUCUUGCUUUGGUUAUCCACUGUAAUGCAUAUUUGCUGCUUGAGUCAAACCCUGGGAAACACCUGCUCUUUCUUCACAGCAGGACGGUGUUGCGGCUGCCCUGGGCCCUGCUUUCGAGAGAGAAGGAAACCAAGAGUCCUGCCAGAAAGUGCGCGAGGCUUCCUCUCUCGGACGCUCAGGAAGCAAGCCUGGCUCAGCUUCCUGCCUGCACGCUGGGCCGCUCAGAGCCAAUCAGGGAAGGAUAGAGCUUUGAUGACCAGGCACUGACUCAAAAGGAAAAAGAGUUAAAAUCAUGGCACAAAUUGGCGUGAUUAGAUGUCAGUGGAGCAAGUGAUUGUCUGAAAGGGAGUUUGACAUGAAGCUCACGUUUUUUGAGCCUUAGAUUAAUAAUGAACUCAAACUGAAAGCAUUUGUGUUUAAUGCUGCCUCUAACAGUAUUUAUUUCUCCUUUCUCAAUGUUUUUGUCUCAUGUACUAGAAAAAAGACCCAUCAGUAAGUAGCAGUACUAUAAAUGACUAUAAUAUUAUGCUGUAAUUCUAUACUAUAAUAAAAUUGUAUUUAUUUUAUGUAUGUAUAUAUAUAUAUACAUAAACAUCAAAUGUCAUUGACAUAUAUUUAAAAAAAGUAAAGAAAAAAGUGUACUAAAAUAUAUCUAUACAAUAUAUAUUUAUACUAUAAAGAAUUCAUAAAGAUUUUUACAUUUCUAAAUCUGUAAAUAUGUUUUAGAUGCUUAGAUUUGUUUCAGAUGGUAACAAAAUGUAUAAUAAUGGCUUUAUACCAAUAUUUAUGAAUAGUAAUGAGGAAAUUUUAACUAUAAUAACCAAAUAGCUAUUUAGUAUGUAACAUUCCAUCUGACUCUGUUCUGUUACAUAAUGACCACUUUUCACCAUCCAGUCACUUUCUUAUGGUUAAAGUCAAGUCCCUCCAUGCUUGUUUUCUUAUUUUCACUCGGAAUUGCAUCACGUUAUGGAAAUAAAAUGGGUUGCAAACAAAUUCACAUUGUCUUUAAGUACCACCCUGAUGUACAAUGCAGCUAAAACACUGUCAAAACCACUUCAGAAAUGCAUGUCUGUAUAUUCUCAGGUCAACGUUUCAUAAACAUCUCGCUGCAGCCCCCAUCUCCUCAAAGAUUAAGGAGGAGUUGACAGCGCAAGAUAGAUCGUAUUCUUUGGGGGAGUUUUUCCAAUUCUGCUUUUUCCAUCGGUUCAUGUGGGUUUAAUUGGUUUGGUAAUUCUCAUGGGAGAUGGCCAAUUUAUAGCCUGUUAACACUUGGCAUCAUGCAGGUAGUGCGUUAUGAGCACAAUUUGCGAUGUUGGCUGUGAAAUAUGUUUGCUGUUAGGAUAUUUACAGCAGUAAAUCAAAAAAACGAUUUUUUCUUUCUUAUAAUGUCCAGACAGCAUCCUAAACGGUCCAUUUUGGCUGCGGAAAUGAAACGACAAACUUAUCAGUGGCUUCUGGAUAGCAUGUUCCUAAUUUUUGUUAUUUUACUGCCUUGAAAUGUUUACAGGGUUUGAUAUGGUGUUGAUUCUGUGGCCCUUGGAGAAAACGGACUACGUCCAACCUCAUACUUUAGACCGGUCACAGCUGUAGCUUGACCAAAACUUACAUUGAAAUCAUGUGUAAUUUCAGUUAAUCUCAAAAUGACUUUUCUUUUCUUCCCAGUCAAAGUGAUACCAUGAGAACAUUACGGAAUUGUGAUGAAUCCAGAGACAGUGGAUUGGGAAAUUAUAAGCUUGGGCUGAAAUGUUUUGCAGUCGAACCUGGCAGCGUUCGUGUAGUUUCAACAUCUCCUUGUUUCACUGUUAUAAGUCUUAAAGCCACAGGAAUUGCCAUGGUGGGCUGCCAAAAUCCAGUUCCUUUUUAUGCAGGAGUUGGAAUUAUGGACAAAGAGAGCGAGGGAGUUACAAUGGAGAGUUGAGUCUCUAAAACCAGGCUAGUUUUUAUACGCCAGCCUGACCACAAACGUGUCCGCGUUUCCUUAAAUCUUGCCAGCUGCGUAAAUACACCAGCCUGCCUUUACACACAGGUCCCUUUCUAUUCCAGCUUUGAACUCCGUUCUUCUACAUUGUGCCUGUAAUGUCAUGUAUACACCUAAAAUGGAUGGGCUAAACCACAAAUUCGCCAGACAUUCCUGAACUACAUGACCUUCAGAAGAUCUAAAAAAUCGUCAAUAUUUUCAUGAUAAAGGUACAUUGCGAUACGAAUUGAAUAUGUGCGCACUGUGUACCCAAACACCAGGCUGUUUUUGUUCCGUUGGCACCUUGCAAACCAUUUAUUAAAUUCAAUUAAUGUGUUGUGGACUGUGUGUGCCACCACGCAUGUUUAUUGUCUUGCCUGGUUUCUGUGUACUGUACUCAGUGAAGGCACAUUAUUAUUGAGGAAUGCAGUGUGGUAUGUUUUUCCCUCCUGUCAGAAUGUAGUGACACACAUUUCUCCUCACGUGAAUUAUAGCUCUCAGGCAACAUAAACUCUUUGUGCACUUGGGAACAGCGA